UCUCCAUUUCGCACACUCUCUCGCCGAUCAGAGGCGCGAGAGAGAGUGUGUGAGAUGAAGAGA
rnacentral:pre_miRNA from 1 species